GUCAGUGCAGGUGUGUGAGUGUCCGUGGAAGGUUGUACUUCACGCUCCCUAUAAGUUAGGCUACAUACCGGUAGUAAAAUUGGGAUCAGAUAUUUGGUGCAAAUACACCACAUACACACUGAAAAUCGUGUAUUACCACCUAUAAUCAAGUGCAUCCUUGCCCACUCGGAUCAUACAUACUCAAAAAAUAUAAAGAUAAAUGUAUAAUAAUGUGUUCGGGGCCAAGUGAUAUUUCACAUGUUAAUAAUAAAGGAAAAAAUUCAAUUCGGUACCGUGAAAUUAUGAAAAUUCAUUAAGAAAAACAAUGAUGUGCCGUGUGCCGUUAGAAAGGUUCGGUGAGCCUUUCCUAGUGUAUUAUCGGUGUGUGUCAUCUUGAAAAUAGCCCAUUUCUAGUAAAAAAAAAAAUAAUGGGGUGUGGGAAUGUGGUGGUUGUGUGCAUCUUGGUGGCCGGGAGCGUCUACCAGGUCGUCUCGUAUCCCAUACCACCCAAUGGACUGGGCAGGGAGAGUGGGUGGAGCAGCAGGGACUAUAUCCACGCGGCCCUUGGUGUUGCCGCACUGCUCUCCUCUCUUGUCACCCUCCUUGCGUGUGUGUGUUGUAAGCGCGCUCGAGGAUUUAAGCGCUCGGAUUCGGGACUACAGGUAAAUUCACACAUUUUUUUGUUUUGUUUUUACAUGUACUGGUGAUCAAAUUGUGAUACCAAAGACUCGAGGUUUAUUGUACAAUAACAUUCCCUCGGCUGGUAAGGUAGUCGUUUAUAGUUUACAGUUGAUUCUAAAUACGGUAUUGAUGAUGCAUGAGCUAGAGCUGAGCUUUAAAAUGGUGACCACUGAUAGCAUAGCAUAGAUAGCAUUGUUGAACUCUUAUUAGCCGAAACCUCCAUCAAGAGUUAAAGUAAUUAAGAGCUUCUCCCAUGAUAUGAUUGUAGUUUUAAUAUGUGUAGCUUCAUUAUGCACUGUAUAAGGACAGGUACUGUAUUCCGUAUUUGUUGAUGUUCUACGGUCAGUGGCUUGCACGUUGGAAAACAGAACUUGAUAUCUUGUGGAGCAUCGUAAGUGUUAUCAUUGAUAGUCAAGAAGUGUAGCGCCGUUAUCAUGAAAGUAUGCCAGCAAUCCUUAUUUUUACCUCACGUAAGCCAGUCUAGGUAAUCUAUUCCGGGCAUCUUCUGCCAGCUCUCAUUGUAACGCGAGAAGGUUGUCUGUGGCAUUUGUUUCGCUCUUGAGAGUGAUUGAGAGGCAGUGAGCGAAUGUAAGAGCUAGUAAUUGAGUGAGUGAUCUGGCUGGCGAGUGAGUGAUUUGAAUGGCAAGUGAGAGGGUUGGCAGGUGACUUUUAAGUUGGUGGCGAGUGAGAGAUGUUGGUGAAGAAGCCAUUAUAAGCAAGAUGUUUCACGUGUUGUGAAUGCGUGUAUAUGUUCAUUCUGCGGCGAAAUAACACCGAGUCGUCGUUUGCUUCUUUAAAAAAAAUUAAGGUAAAUGUACCCGCCUCUUCACUCUCCUCCAAACCUCCCUACUGUCCCC